CUAGGGAGAUACACUCUUUAGAAGAGAACACUUUAUUUUCGGUUAUCCGUUAAUUUCCCGUUGUCUUUGUUGUGGAAAAUCCACGCAGUAUUCGGUCUCGAGGGUUCGCCCUUGUGUACCUUGAAAGCUGUAUAGUGUAACGAAGAUUUUUUUGAUCGCAUCUAAAAACACUUUUUUAAAAAAGUGCAAUGUAUGUUCAAACCAU
rnacentral:misc_RNA from 1 species